UCCGAUUCCUACGGGAGGCAGCAGUGGGGAAUCUUGCACAAUGGGCGAAAGCCUGAUGCAGCGACGCCGCGUGGGGGAUGAAGCUUUUCGGAGUGUAAACCCCUUUCGACCCGGACGAAUGCCUCGCAAGAGGACUGACGGUACGGGUAUAAGAAGCCCCGGCUAACUACGUGCCAGCAGCCGCGGUAAGACGUAGGGGGCCAGCGUUGCUCGGAAUUACUGGGUGUAAAGGGUUCGUAGGCGGUGCGGCAAGUCGGGAGUGAAAUCUCUGGGCUCAACCCAGAGGCUGCUUCCGAAACUGCUGUGCUUGAGUGUGGGAGAGGCGCGUGGAAUUGCAGGUGUAGCGGUGAAAUGCGUAGAUAUCUGCAGGAACACCCGUGGCGAAAGCGGCGCGCUGGACCACAACUGACGCUGAGGAACGAAAGCUAGGGGAGCAAACAGGAUUAGAUACCCUGGUAGUCCUAGCCCUAAACGAUCAGGACUUGGGGUGCUUCACGUUCGUGGAGCGUCCCGGAGCUAACGCGUUAAGUCCUGCACCUGGGGAGUACGGUCGCAAGACUGAAACUCAAAGGAAUUGACGGGGGCCCGCACAAGCGGUGGAACAUGUGGUUCAAUUCGACGCUACGCGAGGAACCUUACCUGGGCUCGAAGCGCACUUGACUAGCUAUAGAAAUAUGGCCUUCCCGCAAGGGACAAGUGUGGAGGCGCUGCAUGGCUGUCGUCAGCUCGUGCCGUGAGGUGUUGGGUUAAGUCCCGCAACGAGCGCAACCCCUUCACGUAGUUGCCACUCCGCAAGGAGGGAACUCUACGUGGACUGCUCCGGAUAACGGAGAGGAAGGUGGGGAUGACGUUAAGUCCGCAUGGCCUUUAUGUCCAGGGCUACACACGUGUUACAAUGCAGGGCACAAACCGUUGCCAACCCGCGAGGGGGAGCUAAUCUCAGAAAGCGCGUCGUAGUCCGGAUCGGAGUCUGCAACUCGACUCCGUGAAGUCGGAAUCGCUAGUAAUCGCGGAUCAGCAUGUCGCGGUGAAUACGUUCCCGGGCCUUGUACACA
rnacentral:rRNA from 1 species